UCAUGAGAUAUUUCUCAAACUAUUUUUCUAUUUUUUUUUUUUUUAUUUCAAUAACUAUUAAUUGAGUUAUCUGACUUUAUGUAUCAUAUAAUGGAAAUGGUUAAAUUGUACAUAUAGUAGAACAUUGAUGUUAUAUUUUUAAAAACUAUUUAAAUUGAACAUAUUAUUCUCCAAUUUCAAUUUAAAAUAAACUAAGAUCAAUCUCCAAUGGACUGGUGAAAGAAAAUAAGAAAAAAAGGGAGAAAAUUUAUUAUAUACAUAUAUUUCUUAUAUAUCUACAUUACUUUUGUAACAUAUUUAUCAUGUGAACUAAGCCAUUUAUCAUAGCAUUGUAUAAGCUUUUGUAUGCUCUUAACAUAGACUGUUGUUGCCUUGAAGUUUAGCCAAUGCCUUGUGCUGCUCAUCAGCUCCUCAUGACUACAAAUUACUGUCUCCAACUAUACUUGCAUCAUUGCAAACAUGAAAAUUACUUAAUGUAAAAACCGGACUAUUUGACUGAUGAUUGGACAGGUCUGAAAUUACUUGAGUGGUCCUUGUCUGCAUACUGCUGUGUGUGGAUGCAUAGAUGUCAUGGAGAAGGACCAUUUCCUUAUAUACUCUUCAUUCAUGAAGUUUUGUCCAUAUGUCUCUCAUAUCUUCCAAUGAAUUUACUGUCUUUCAAUUUACAAAAAUUGAAUAAUCACAAAUUUUUCACAAAUGAUAGCAUUGAAUUAUUUUACAUAUAUUCAUUUGACAGGAGCUUUGAUGGUGACAACCAUGUUUAUUUGCUUAUUACAAGAACAGCACUAGAUGAAAUGACUUGACAGAUUGUAUGGAUGUCAGCAGUUGAUUACUGAUCACACUUGCAUAAAUACUGAGUUGUUAUGAAACUAAGUUUUCUUUACAAGCCUGCUAGAUUGAUUUAUGGACAGCCUACAUAAAAUUGCUUAUUUUUGAUUCUGCUAUUAUUACACUCCACUUUAUUAUCUUAAUAAACUUAACAAUGACAUUAAAAAUUCAAAAAAAAUAUUCAUAUUAGAACAAAGCAAAAAUGAAUGCAACCCAAUAUUCAUGAAUGGAUUUCACUGAUUGAGACAGAUAUUGAUUUAAAUAGAUUGAAUUGAAAUUUGUUAAUUGACUAAAAUUGAUUAAUACUUAUUGAAAAAUCUAUUUUUAGUAGAGAAUGGUUAAGUGAGCAUAUUAGGAUUUAUGGAAGUUUGUCGUUGAUUUGUUCUUGAU
rnacentral:lncRNA from 1 species